AGCAGCAGCCGCGGUAACACGUAGGGUGCGAGCGUUAAUCGGAAUUACUGGGCGUAAAGCGUGCGCAGGCGGUUGUGUAAGACAGGUGUGAAAUCCCCGGGCUUAACCUGGGAACUGCGCUUGUGACUGCACAGCUAGAGUAUGGCAGAGGGGGGUGGAAUUCCACGUGUAGCAGUGAAAUGCGUAGAGAUGUGGAGGAACACCGAUGGCGAAGGCAGCCCCCUGGGCCAAUACUGACGCUCAUGCACGAAAGCGUGGGGAGCAAACAGGAUUAGAUACCCCCGUAGUCCCUGUCUCUUAUAC
rnacentral:rRNA from 1 species